rnacentral:rRNA from 1 species
CCUACGGGAGGCAGCAGUGAGGAAUAUUGGUCAAUGGGCGUAAGCCUGAACCAGCCAAGUCGCGUGAGGGAUGAAGGUUCUAUGGAUCGUAAACUUCUUUUAUAAGGGAAUAAAGUGCGGUACGUAUACUGUUUUGUAUGUACCUUAUGAAUAAGGAUCGGCUAACUCCGUGCCAGCAGCCGCGGUAAUACGGAGGAUCCGAGCGUUAUCCGGAUUUAUUGGGUUUAAAGGGUGCGUAGGCGGGCUGUUAAGUCAGCUGUGAAAGUUUGUGGCUCAACCGUAAAAUUGCAGUUGAUACUGGGAGGCUUGAGUAUGUUUGAGGUAGGCGGAAUGCGUGGUGUAGCGGUGAAAUGCUUAGAUAUCACGCAGAACCCCGAUUGCGAAGGCAGCCUGCCAGGCUAUGACUGACGCUGAUGCACGAAAGUGUGGGGAUCAAACAGGAUUAGAUACCCGAGUAGUC